rnacentral:rRNA from 1 species
UACGUAGGGUGCGAGCGUUGUCCGGAAUUAUUGGGCGUAAAGAGCUCGUAGGCGGUGUGUCGCGUCGGCCGUGAAAACCUGCAGCUUAACUGUGGGCUUGCGGUCGAUACGGGCAUCACUGGAGUUCGGCAGGGGAGACUGGAAUUCCUGGUGUAGCGGUGGAAUGCGCAGAUAUCAGGAGGAACACCAAUAGCGAAGGCAGCUCGCUGGGACGGUACUGACGCUGAGGUGCGAAAGCGUGGGGAGCGAACAGG